AUAUCCAACAUUAUAUAGUAAUAUGUAGGUUAAAAUAUCAUAACCUAAAUAUUUUGUACUUUGGGUUUUGUUCGAUCUUAGGUCACAAUCCUUCGAAACUUAAUUCUCAUGCAAAUGUGAACUGCAGUCCAUGCAUGAGAGAGAGAUAGAGAAGGAGAGGCUUUUUAGGAUAUUUUUUUUCCUUUCAGUUUCUUAAAAGUAAGAUGGAUUAAGGGAAGAAAAAUGUAUAUGAGUUGGUAAUGAUGGGAGGAACAGAUUGCAUGAGCUAAGAUACCCUAACUGCCUUGCUAAGUUUAUUUUUAUAUGCAUUUCUUUUUAGUUUUUGCAUCUUCUUUCAUGACUCUCAACUACUCUUUAAACAUAGCCUUGACCCAAAACUGAAUGUUCUGCUAACAUGUCAUCAUUGUUAAGGAUGUGAUUGUAUUAAUUGUAUCCAAACAAUUUUAAGUACUUACAAGCAUGCUUACAUUUACAUACUUUAUA